rnacentral:rRNA from 1 species
CAAGCGAACAAGUGCAUGUGGUGGAUGCCUUGGCGAUCACAGGCGAUGAAGGACGCGGUAGCCUGCGAAAAGCGGAGGGGAGCUGGCAAACGAGCUUUGAUCCUCCGAUAUCCGAAUGGGGAAACCCGGCCCGUAUGGGUCAUCCGUAACUGAAUACAUAGGUUACGUGAAGCGAACGCGGUGAACUGAAACAUCUAAGUAACCGCAGGAAAAGAAAUCAACCGAGAUUCCCAGAGUAGUGGCGAGCGAAAUGGGACCAGCCUGUACUCUUUAUCUUCAUUGUUAGUCGAAGGCUCUGGAAAGUGCCGCCAUAGCAGGUGAUAGCCCUGUAGACGAAAACAGCGGGGAAGAACUAGGUGUACGGAAAGUAGGGCGGGACACGUGAAAUCCUGUCUGAAGAUGGGGGGACCAUCCUCCAAGGCUAAAUACUCGUGAUCGACCGAUAGUGAACCAGUACCGUGAGGGAAAGGCGAAAAGAACCCCGGGAGGGGAGUGAAACAGAUCCUGAAACCGCAUGCAUACAAACAGUCGGAGCCUCGCAAGGGGUGACGGCGUACCUUUUGUAUAAUGGGUCAGCGACUUACAUUCAGUGGCAAGCUUAACCGAUUAGGGCAGGCGUAGCGAAAGCGAGUCCGAACAGGGCGAUUCAGUCGCUGGGUGUAGACCCGAAACCAGGUGAUCUAUCCAUGGCCAGGAUGAAGGUGCGGUAACACGUACUGGAGGUCCGAACCCACUAACGUUGAAAAGUUAGGGGAUGAGCUGUGGAUAGGGGUGAAAGGCUAAACAAACCUGGAAAUAGCUGGUUCUCUCCGAAAACUAUUUAGGUAGUGCCUCGUGUAUCACCUUCGGGGGUAGAGCACUGUCAUGGUUGUGGGGUCCAUUGCGGAUUACUACGCCAUAGCAAACUCCGAAUACCGAAGAGUGCAAUCACGGGAGACAGACAUCGGGUGCUAACGUCCGGUGUCAAGAGGGAAACAACCCAGACCGCCAGCUAAGGUCCCCAAAUAUUGCUAAGUGGGAAACGAAGUGGGAAGGCUAAAACAGUCAGGAGGUUGGCUUAGAAGCAGCCAUCCUUUAAAGAAAGCGUAAUAGCUCACUGAUCGAGUCGUCCUGCGCGGAAGAUGUAACGGGGCUAAGCAAUAUACCGAAGCUGCGGAUGCACAUUUAUGUGCAUGGUAGGAGAGCGUUCCGUAAGCCUGCGAAGGUGCAUUGAAAAGUGUGCUGGAGGUAUCGGAAGUGCGAAUGCUGACAUGAGUAGCGAUAAAGGGGGUGAAAGGCCCCCUCGCCGUAAGCCCAAGGUUUCCUACGCAACGUUCAUCGGCGUAGGGUGAGUCGGCCCCUAAGGCGAGGCAGAAAUGCGUAGCUGAUGGGAAGCAGGUUAAUAUUCCUGCACCAUUGUUAAAUGCGAUGGGGGGACGGAUCGCGGAAGGUUGUCCGGGUGUUGGAAGUCCCGGUCCUUGCAUUGGAGAAGGCGCUCAGGCAAAUCCGGGCGCGGAAUUCAAGGGUGCGAGGCCAUUCACUUAGGUGAAGAAGCAAUCGGAAGUGGUUCCAAGAAAAGCCUCUAAGCUUCAGUUUAACAGGACCGUACCGCAAACCGACACAGGUGGGCGAGAUGAGUAUUCUAAGGCGCUUGAGAGAACUCGGGAGAAGGAACUCGGCAAAUUGGUACCGUAACUUCGGGAUAAGGUACGCCCCUGUAGCUUGAUGCCCCUGCGGGCAGAGGGUGAAGGGGUUGCAAUAAACUGGUGGCUGCGACUGUUUAAUAAAAACACAGCACUCUGCAAACACGAAAGUGGACGUAUAGGGUGUGACGCCUGCCCGGUGCCGGAAGAUUAAAUGAUGGGGUGCAAGCUCUUGAUUGAAGUCCCGGUAAACGGCGGCCGUAACUAUAACGGUCCUAAGGUAGCGAAAUUCCUUGUCGGGUAAGUUCCGACCUGCACGAAUGGCGUAACGAUGGCCACACUGUCUCCUCCCGAGACUCAGCGAAGUUGAAGUGUUUGUGAUGAUGCAAUCUCCCCGCGGCUAGACGGAAAGACCCCAUGAACCUUUACUGUAGCUUUGCAUUGGACUUUGAACCGAUCUGUGUAGGAUAGGUGGGAGGCUAUGAAGCGUGGACGCCAGUCUGCGUGGAGCCGUCCUUGAAAUACCACCCUGGUUUGUUUGAGGUUCUAACCUUGGUCCGUAAUCCGGAUCGGGGACAGUGCAUGGUAGGCAGUUUGACUGGGGCGGUCUCCUCCCAAAGUGUAACGGAGGAGUACGAAGGUACGCUAGGUACGGUCGGAAAUCGUGCUGAUAGUGCAAUGGCAUAAGCGUGCUUAACUGCGAGACCGACAAGUCGAGCAGGUGCGAAAGCAGGUCAUAGUGAUCCGGUGGUUCUGUAUGGAAGGGCCAUCGCUCAACGGAUAAAAGGUACUCUGGGGAUAACAGGCUGAUACCGCCCAAGAGUUCAUAUCGACGGCGGUGUUUGGCACCUCGAUGUCGGCUCAUCUCAUCCUGGGGCUGUAGCCGGUCCCAAGGGUAUGGCUGUUCGCCAUUUAAAGAGGUACGUGAGCUGGGUUUAAAACGUCGUGAGACAGUUUGGUCCCUAUCUGCCGUGGGCGCUGGAUAUUUGAAGGGGGCUGCUCCUAGUACGAGAGGACCGGAGUGGACGAACCUCUGGUGUACCGGUUGUCACGCCAGUGGCAUCGCCGGGUAGCUAUGUUCGGAAGAGAUAACCGCUGAAAGCAUCUAAGCGGGAAACUCGCCUUAAGAUGAGAUAUCCCCGGGGCUUCGAGCCCCUUGAAGGGUCGUUCAAGACCAGGACGUUGAUAGGUCAGGUGUGGAAGCGCAGUAAUGCGUUAAGCUAACUGAUACUAAUUGCCCGUAAGGCUUGAUCC